rnacentral:rRNA from 1 species
UGGGGAAUUUUGGACAAUGGGGGAAACCCUGAUCCAGCCAUCCCGCGUGUGCGAUGAAGGCCUUCGGGUUGUAAAGCACUUUUGGCAGGAAAGAAACGUCGCGGGUUAAUACCCCGCGGAACUGACGGUACCUGCAGAAUAAGCACCGGCUAACUACGUGCCAGCAGCCGCGGUAAUACGUAGGGUGCAAGCGUUAAUCGGAAUUACUGGGCGUAAAGCGUGCGCAGGCGGUUCGGAAAGAAAGAUGUGAAAUCCCAGAGCUUAACUUUGGGAACUGCAUUUUUAACUACCGGGCUAGAGUGUGUCAGAGGGGAGGUGGAAUUCCGCGUGUAGCAGUGAAAUGCGUAGAUAUGCGGAGGAACACCGAUGGCGAAGGCAGCCUCCUGGGAUAACACUGACGCUCAUGCACGAAAGCGUGGGGAGCAAACAGGAUUAGAUACCCUGGUAGUCCACGCCCUAAACGAUGUCAACUAGCUGUUGGGGUCUUCGGACCUUGGUAGCGCAGCUAACGCGUGAAGUUGACCGCCUGGGGAGUACGGUCGCAAGAUUAAAACUCAAAUG